UCUCCUGGAAACGGGUGGUAAUGCCGGAUGCUCCAGUUGAUCGCAUGGUCUUCUGGGAAAGCUUUCGCGGUAUGGGAUGGGGUCGCGUCCUAUCAGCUUGACGGCGGGGUAACGGCCCACCGUGGCUUCGACGGGUAGCCGGCCUGAGAGGGCGACCGGCCACAUUGGGACUGAGAUACGGCCCAGACUCCUACGGGAGGCAGCAGUGGGGAAUAUUGCACAAUGGGCGCAAGCCUGAUGCAGCGACGCCGCGUGAGGGAUGGAGGCCUUCGGGUUGUAAACCUCUUUUAUCGGGGAGCAAGCGAGAGUGAGUUUACCCGUUGAAUAAGCACCGGCUAACUACGUGCCAGCAGCCGCGGUAAUACGUAGGGUGCAAGCGUUAUCCGGAAUUAUUGGGCGUAAAGGGCUCGUAGGCGGUUCGUCGCGUCCGGUGUGAAAGUCCAUCGCUUAACGGUGGAUCCGCGCCGGGUACGGGCGGGCUUGAGUGCGGUAGGGGAGACUGGAAUUCCCGGUGUAACGGUGGAAUGUGUAGAUAUCGGGAAGAACACCACCC
rnacentral:rRNA from 1 species